rnacentral:rRNA from 1 species
UACGAAGGGAGCUAGCGUUGUUCGGAAUUACUGGGCGUAAAGGGCGCGUAGGCGGGGGUCCAAGUCGGGGGUGAAAUUCCAGGGCUCAACCCUGGGACGGCCUUCGAUACUGGGAGCCUGGAGAUCGGGAGAGGUGAGUGGAAUUCCGAGUGUAGAGGUGAAAUUCGUAGAUAUUCGGAGGAACACCAGAAGCGAAGGCGGCGCACUGGCCCGCGACUGACGCUGAGGCGCGAAAGCGUGGGGAGCAAACAGG